rnacentral:rRNA from 1 species
UUGUUCCUACGGGACGCAGCAGUGAGGAGUAUUGGUCAAUGGGCGGAAGCCUGAACCAGCCAAGUAGCGUGAAGGAUGAAGGUUCUAUGGAUUGUAAACUUCUUUUAUAAAGGAAUAAAGUGAGGCACGUGUGCCUUUUUGUAUGUACUUUAUGAAUAAGGAUCGGCUAACUCCGUGCCAGCAGCCGCGGCAAUACGGAGGAUCCGAGCGUUAUCCGGAUUUAUUGGGUUUAAAGGAAGCGUAGAUGGGUUGUUAAGUCAGUUGUGAAAGUUUGCGGCUCAACCGUAAAAUUGCAAUUGAUACUG